rnacentral:rRNA from 1 species
GAUGGGGACUCUAGCAAGACUGCCGGUGUAAACCGCGAGGAAGGUGUGGAUGACGUCAAAUCAGCACGGCCCUUACAUCCAGGGCUACACACGUGUUACAAUGGCCGGUACAGAGGGCAGCUACUUAGUGAUAAGAUGCCAAUCUUCAAAACCGGUCUCAGUUCGGAUCGAAGUCUGCAACCCGACUUCGUGAAGCUGGAUUCGCUAGUAAUCGCAUAUCAGCCAUGAUGCGGUGAAUACGUUCCCGGGCCUUGUACACACCGCCCGUCAAACAAUGGAAGCCGGGGGUACCUGAAGUAUGUAACCGCAAGGAGCGUCCUAGGGUAAAACUGGUAACUGGUGUUAAGUCGUAACAAGGUA